rnacentral:rRNA from 1 species
AGAUGGGGAUAGCCAUUAGAAAUAGUGGAUAAUACCGAAUACGCUCUACGGACUCUGGUUUGUAGAGGAAACAGGCUACGGCCUGGGCUCGAGGAUGGGCCCGCGUCCCAUUAGCUAGUUGGUGAGGUAAGAGCCCACCAAGGCGACGAUGGGUAUCCGGCCUGAGAGGGUGUACGGACACAUUGGGACUGAGAUACGGCCCAAACUCCUACGGGAGGCAGCAGCUAAGAAUAUUCCGCAAUGGACGAAAGUCUGACGGAGCGACGCCGCGUGGAUGACGAAGGCCGAAAGGUUGUAAAAUCCUUUUGCUGAUGAAGAAUAAGCGUGGUAGGGAAUGACCGCGUGAUGACAUUAGUCGGUGAAUAAGCCCCGGCUAACUACGUGCCAGCCGCAGC